UCCAUUACACUUUUUUACUAAUUUAUAGUUGUAAAAUUGUAUAUAUCCUUGUAGGGAAUCAUGAGAUUCUUUUUGCUCAUAUCAUAUCUGUUGCCUCCAAAAGCAUCCACAUACCAUCUCUACAAAACCUGCAAAAUGGAAUAAUCAACUUGGCCUUUGCCCUUUCUUCACUUCUAAAGAAUAACUUUAAGCCUAUUAGUUUUCAGUCCCCAUUCACACUCCUUUUGUCCUCCUAUUGAAUACCUUUCAUUUGGACAAAAAUAAAGAAACAAUAUUUCAAUUCAAUUCAAUUUUUUUAAAUUUUAAAAGUAAUACAAUGUAUACAUGCGCGCGCACACACACACACAUAUAUAUAUAUAUAUAUAUAUAUAUAUGCAAAGACACGCGUAUAGGAGACUGAUUUACAGUAACGUCAGCACAAAUAUAUGAAAUACGCGAAUUGAAAGGCAGAAACAUCUUAAAAUUAUGAAUCACAGUUAACGUAUUUGUGCCUUUCAAUUUUCAUAUAAACGAAAAGCACAAAUACGUUAACUGUGAUUCAUCGUUAGUACUAAUUAUGGAUCGAUCUCUUAUAUUCACACAAUUUGAUGCUGAUAAGGGUGGUAAGGAUUCUUGAUAGACCGAGGAGGGUUUUUCAUGAGUUUGUUUCUCUCUUCC
rnacentral:lncRNA from 1 species